CAAACAAAUACUUAUUGUCCUACAGGAAUGCAUGGUUUCUUUAAAUCUUAGACCAAUUGGAGCAUUAUCUUGAUCUACUCUGGAAUAAUUUCCCUUGCAUGACGAGGGGAUUUGUUUGCUUGCAAACACGUAUCCUUGUUGAAGCCUUGUAAGUUUGAAAGUCAGUAACUGUAAGUUUACUGUACGAGUGCUUCGGGGAAGAUUUGUCAUUUUAUCAGAAGAUCCAUGAUGGCUGAGGUCAAGCAACGAGAGACGUGGUCUUCAAAGCUGGAUUUUCUGCUCGCUCUGAUGGGUUUUUCCAUUGGUCUUGGAAACAUUUGGCGGUUCCCGUAUCUUUGUUUCAAAAAUGGCGGAGGUUGCUUCCUUAUUCCUUACUUGAUUUGCUUAAUCUUGGCUGGCGUUCCGGUGUUGGUAUUGGAGAUUGCCAUGGGCCAAUUUACCAGUCAAGGUGCAAUAACGGCAUGGAAAAUGUGUCCUCUUUUUC